rnacentral:rRNA from 1 species
AAUCAACGCUGGCGGCGUGCCUCAGACAUGCAAGUCGAACGAUUAAACUUUCCUUCGGGAAAGAUAUAAAGUGGCGUACGGGUGAGUAACACGUAAGUAAUCUACCCUCGAGUAGGGAAUAACAAUCGGAAACGAUUGCUAAUACCGCAUAAUGCAGCGGCACCGUAAGGUGACAGUUGUUACAGGAUUUAUUCGCUUGAGGAGGAGCUUGCGGCAGAUUAGCUAGUUGGUAAGGUAAUGGCUUACCAAGGCGACGAUCUGUAGCCGGUCUAAGAGGACGGUCGGUCACACUGACACUGAAUAACGGGUCAGACUCCUACGGGAGGCAGCAGUCGGGAAUUUUGGGCAAUGGGCGAAAGCCUGACCCAGCAACGCCGCGUGAAGGAUGAAGUCUUUCGGGAUGUAAACUUCGAAAGAAUAGGAAGAAUAAAUGACGGUACUAUUUAUAAGGUCCGGCUAACUACGUGCCAGCAGCCGCCGUAACAC